rfam:Papio anubis isolate 1X1155 chromosome 3, whole genome shotgun sequence.
GCUGUAUUACAUAAUUAUCAUCUUCUCUGAGGGAGAAAAAAAAAAGUAGCUGAGAGCCACUUUCAGUCCCGCUAUUAAGUACAUUUUGACCUCUAAGAAACUUCGUGUGGUUCACCUCAG